rnacentral:snoRNA from 1 species
GUUUAUGAUGACUUCCACAUUUACACGACGGUCUACUGCGCUUCUCAACUGUUUAACGAGAAGCUUUGAUGAUAGUCUGCCUUUGACAGGGCGUGGCACUGAUU